rnacentral:rRNA from 1 species
GACGAACGCUGGCGGCAUGCCUAAUACAUGCAAGUCGAACGAGAGGAAGGAAAGCUUGCUUUUCUGAAUCUAGUGGCGAAGGGGUGAGUAAUACGUAGGUAACCUGCACAUGUGCCAGGGAUGACUUCUGGAAACGGAUGCUAAAACCGGAUAGGUAGCAGACAAGCAUUUGACUGCUAUUAAAGAGGCUAAGGCAAUGAAAAUGGAUGGACCUGCGGUGCAUUAGCUAGUUGGUGAGGUAACGGCCCACCAAGGCGACGAUGCAUAGCCGGCCUGAGAGGGCGUACGGCCACAUUGGGACUUAGACACGGCCCAAACUCCUACGGUAUGCAGCAGUAGUGAAUUUUCGUCAAUGAGGGGAACCCUGAACGAGCAAUGCCGCGUGAGUGAGGAAGGUCUUCGGAUCGUAAAGCUCUGUUGUAAGAGAAAAACGACAUUCAUAGGGAAUGAUGAGUGAGUGAUGGUAUCUUACCAGAAAGUCACGGCUAACUACGUGCCAGCCGCCGCGGUAAAAC